CAUUUCUAGCUUGCUAGAAGAUGACGAGCGGCGGACGGGUGAGUAAUACUUGGGGAUCUGCCUGAUGGCGGGGGACAACCACUGGAAACGGUGGCUAAUACCGCAUAAUGCCUACGGGCCAAAGUGUGGGACCUUCGGGCCACAUGCCAUCAGAUGAACCCAAGCGAGAUUAGCUAGUUGGUGAGGUAAUGGCUCACCAAGGCGACGAUCUCUAGCUGUUCUGAGAGGAUGAUCAGCCACACUGGGACUGAGACACGGCCCAGACUCCUACGGGAGGCAGCAGUGGGGAAUAUUGGACAAUGGGCGCAAGCCUGAUCCAGCCAUGCCGCGUGUGUGAAGAAGGCCUUCGGGUUGUAAAGCACUUUCAGUGGUGAGGAAGGCCUUGUAGUUAAUAGCUGCAAGGAUUGACGUUAGCCACAGAAGAAGCACCGGCUAACUCCGUGCCAGCAGCCGCGGUAAUACGGAGGGUGCGAGCGUUAAUCGGAAUUACUGGGCGUAAAGCGCACGUAGGCGGUUUGUUAAGCAAGAUGUGAAAGCCCAGGGCUCAACCUUGGAAUAGCAUUUUGAACUGGCAAGCUAGAGUUUUGAAGAGGGUGGUAGAAUUUCCAGUGUAGCGGUGAAAUGCGUAGAUAUUGGAAGGAAUACCAGUGGCGAAGGCGGCCACCUGGUCAAAAACUGACGCUGAGGAGCGAAAGCGUGGGGAGCAAACAGGAUUAGAUACCCUGGUAGUCCACGCCGUAAACGAUGUCAACUAGUUGUUCGUGUCUUUAAGACGUGAGUAACGCAGCUAACGCACUAAGUUGACCGCCUGGGGAGUACGGCCGCAAGGUUAAAACUCAAAUGAAUUGACGGGGGCCCGCACAAGCGGUGGAGCAUGUGGUUUAAUUCGAUGCAACGCGAAGAACCUUACCAUCCCUUGACAUCCA
rnacentral:rRNA from 1 species